CAGUAGCCGCGGGAAUACGUAGGUCCCGAGCGUUGUCCGGAUUUAUUGGGCGUAAAGGGAGCGCAGGCGGUUUAGUAAGUCUGAAGUUAAAGGCAUUGGCUCAACCAAUGUAUGCUUUGGAAACUGUUAGACUUGAGUGCAGAAGGGAAGAGUGGAAUUCCAUGUGUAGCGGUGAAAUGCGUAGAUAUCGGAAGGAACACCUGUGGCGAAAGCGGCUCACUGGACCAUUUCUGACGCUGAUGCACGAAAGCUAGGGGAGCAAACAGGAUUAGAUACCCCCGUAGUCCCUGUCUCUUAUACA
rnacentral:rRNA from 1 species